GGGGCCGUAGCUCAGUUGGGAGAGCGCCAGCUUUGCAAGCUGGAUGUCGUGCGUUCGAGUCGCAUCGGCUCCA
rnacentral:tRNA from 1 species